rnacentral:lncRNA from 1 species
AUCAGAAUACUAAUUUAUUUCAAUUAAUUUCAGAUAAUUAACUAUUCCAUCCUAAUUAACUCUCCAAAUUAACUCUUCCAUCCUAAUUAACUCUCCCAAUUAACUCUUCCACUAUAAUUAACUCUCUCAAUUAACUCUCCCAAUUAACUCUCCCAAUUGACCCUCGUACAGCACCCCUCCUCGUCCCCUUCCUCCGACACCGACAGCACCCAUCUCGACCACCAUCGCCACUCCAAACCUCGAGGGUGGCGACCCAUGAGGCAAUAUUGGCGAUCAGAGCUGAUGUUUUCGACAGAGGUAGAGACGAAGAACGGGUUUCUCAGUAACGAAGAAGGCAUCCACGGCGAUGGUGUCGAGGUGGAAGGCACGAUGAUGCUACUGGUGGUGAGGGAGAUGAUGUCGACCCGCCGACCACAGCGAUGUCGAAUGUGACGAGAAGGAGGAGGAGGACGACGACGAGAUCUGCACGAAUCGUUGCGGCCCUCUUGCUCCCAGCGCCGGCCAAGGCGGCGGAGGAGGAGGAGGACGACGACGAGAUCUGCACGAAUCGUUGCGGCCCUCUUGCUCCCAGCGCCGGCCAAGGCGGCGGAGGAGGAGGAGGACGACGACGAGAGUGGCGACUCGCGGGCCAUUUUUUUUGUGCGAAUGAGGCGAGGCUUCUUGGGGGCGAAGGUGGAGGCGGAGGAGCCGGCGCCGAGGUUGGCGGUGGUGGUGAGCUGCUGGAGCUCGCGGCGGGCGGCGGCGGGCUGCGGGGACCCAAGUUGGGAGAGAGAGGAUAAGUUGGGGAGAGAAAGAGAAGAUAAUUUAAGGAAAUAGUUUAAUAAGGUAGAGGCAAAAUAUGUAUUUUAAUUAGGUUUUAAUUCUGGUAUAUAUUUAAUCCAUGUUUAACUCCAGUUAAACUAACAGGGAAUAAAUGUGGGGGUAUUUUGGAAUAACGGUGAAACAUAUGAGGGGCAUUUUAGAAAGAAAAAAAAAGUAGGGGUAGAUCGGAUAUUUCCAGACGCAUGAGGGGUCUAUAGGCAAUUAUCCCUAAUAAAUAAUAAUAAUAAUAAUAAUAAUAAUAAUAAUAAUAAUAUACAUUUGGU